GGGAGAGAUAGGGGAGUGGUAGAGCGGGGGAGAGAUAGGUGAGAACUAGAGUGAGGGAGAGAUAGGGGAGAGGACAAGCGGGGGAGAGAUAGGGGAGGUGGAGAGCGGGGGAGAGAUAGGGGAGGGGUAGAGCGGGAGAGAGGUAGAGCAGGGGAGAGAUAGGGGAGAGGUAGAGUGUCGGGAGAGAUAGGGGCGAGGUAGAGCGGGGGAGAGAUAGGGGCGAGGUAGAGCGGGGGAGAGAUAGGGGCGAGGUAGAGCGGGGGAGAGAUAGGGGCCAGGUAGAGUGGGGGAGAGACAGGGGAGAGGGCGAGCGGGGUAGAGAUAGGGGAGGGGUAGAGCGGGGGAGAGAUAGGGGCCAGGUAGAGCGGGGGAGAGAUAGGGGCCAGGUAGAGUGAGGGAGAGAUAGGGGAGAGGGCGAGUGGGGGAGUGAUAGGGGAGAGGUAGAGCGGGGGGAGAGGUAGAGCGCGGGAGAGAUAGAGUGAGGGAGAGAUAGAGGAGAGGUAGAGCGGGGUGAGAUAAGGGAGAGGUAGAGUGAGGGAGAGAUAGGGGAGAGGUAGAGUGGGGGAGAGAUAGGGGAGAGGUAGAGUGAGGGAGAGAUAGGGUAGUGGGUGAGCGGGGGAGAGAUAGGGGCCAGGUAGAGCGGGCGAGAGAUAGGGGGGAGAUAAAGUGAGGGAGUGAUAGAGGCCAGGUAGAGCGGGGGAGCGAUAGGGGAGAUGUAGUGCUGGGAAGAGGUAGAGUGAGGGAGAGAUAGGGGCCAGGUAGAGCGGGCGAGAGACAGGGGAGAGGUGGAGCGGGGGAGAGAUAGUGGAGAGGGCAUGCGGGGGAGAGAUAGAGAAAGUGAGAAAAGAAAGUGGGAGACUGAUGAGUGGAGGGAAAGUGAGGGAGAGAUGAAUGAAAUCCAUUUAUCUUCUCUGUCAUUAGCCC
ensembl:lncRNA